UUAAGCGACUAAGCGUACACGGUGGAUGCCCUGGCAGUCAGAGGCGAUGAAGGACGUGCUAAUCUGCGAAAAGCGUCGGUAAGGUGAUAUGAACCGUUAUAGCCGGCGAUGUCCGAAUGGGGAAACCCAGUGUGAUUCGUCACACUAUCGUUAACUGAAUACAUAGGUUAACGAGGCGAACCGGGGGAACUGAAACAUCUAAGUACCCCGAGGAAAAGAAAUCAACCGAGAUUCCCCCAGUAGCGGCGAGCGAACGGGGAGCAGCCCAGAGUCUGAAUCAGCUUGUGUGUUAGUGGAACGGUCUGGAAAGUCCGACGGUACAGGGUGAUAGUCCCGUACACCAAAAUGCACAGGCUGUGAACUCGAAGAGUAGGGCGGGACACGUGGUAUCCUGUCUGAAUAUGGGGGGACCAUCCUCCAAGGCUAAAUACUCCUGACUGACCGAUAGUGAACCAGUACCGUGAGGGAAAGGCGAAAAGAACCCCGGCGAGGGGAGUGAAAAAGAACCUGAAACCGUGUACGUACAAGCAGUGGGAGCCUCUUUAUGGGGUGACUGCGUACCUUUUGUAUAAUGGGUCAGCGACUUAUAUUCUGUAGCAAGGUUAACCGUAUAGGGGAGCCGCAGGGAAACCGAGUCUUAACUGGGCGUUAAGUUGCAGGGUAUAGACCCGAAACCCGGUGAUCUAGCCAUGGGCAGGUUGAAGGUUGGGUAACACUAACUGGAGGACCGAACCGACUAAUGUUGAAAAAUUAGCGGAUGACUUGUGGCUGGGGGUGAAAGGCCAAUCAAACCGGGAGAUAGCUGGUUCUCCCCGAAAGCUAUUUAGGUAGCGCCUCGUGAACUCAUCUUCGGGGGUAGAGCACUGUUUCGGCUAGGGGGUCAUCCCGACUUACCAACCCGAUGCAAACUACGAAUACCGAAGAAUGUUAUCACGGGAGACACACGGCGGGUGCUAACGUCCGUCGUGAAGAGGGAAACAACCCAGACCGCCAGCUAAGGUCCCAAAGUCAUGGUUAAGUGGGAAACGAUGUGGGAAGGCCCAGACAGCCAGGAUGUUGGCUUAGAAGCAGCCAUCAUUUAAAGAAAGCGUAAUAGCUCACUGGUCGAGUCGGCCUGCGCGGAAGAUGUAACGGGGCUAAACCAUGCACCGAAGCUGCGGCAGCGACACUAUGUGUUGUUGGGUAGGGGAGCGUUCUGUAAGCCUGCGAAGGUGACCUGUGAGGGUUGCUGGAGGUAUCAGAAGUGCGAAUGCUGACAUAAGUAACGAUAAAGCGGGUGAAAAGCCCGCUCGCCGGAAGACCAAGGGUUCCUGUCCAACGUUAAUCGGGGCAGGGUGAGUCGACCCCUAAGGCGAGGCCGAAAGGCGUAGUCGAUGGGAAACAGGUUAAUAUUCCUGUACUUGGUGUUACUGCGAAGGGGGGACGGAGAAGGCUAUGUCAUCCGGGCGACGGUUGUCCCGGUUUAAGCAUGUAGGCUGGUUAUCCAGGCAAAUCCGGAUAAUCAAGGCUGAGGUGUGAUGACGAGGUACCACGGUACUGAAGUGACAGAUGCCCUGCUUCCAGGAAAAGCCUCUAAGCAUCAGGUAACAUCAAAUCGUACCCCAAACCGACACAGGUGGUCAGGUAGAGAAUACCAAGGCGCUUGAGAGAACUCGGGUGAAGGAACUAGGCAAAAUGGUGCCGUAACUUCGGGAGAAGGCACGCUGGUGUGUAGGUGAAGUCCCUGCGGAUGGAGCUGAGACCAGUCGAAGAUACCAGCUGGCUGCAACUGUUUAUUAAAAACACAGCACUGUGCAAACACGAAAGUGGACGUAUACGGUGUGACGCCUGCCCGGUGCCGGAAGGUUAAUUGAUGGGGUUAUCCGUAAGGAGAAGCUCUUGAUCGAAGCCCCGGUAAACGGCGGCCGUAACUAUAACGGUCCUAAGGUAGCGAAAUUCCUUGUCGGGUAAGUUCCGACCUGCACGAAUGGCGUAAUGAUGGCCAGGCUGUCUCCACCCGAGACUCAGUGAAAUUGAACUCGCUGUGAAGAUGCAGUGUACCCGCGGCAAGACGGAAAGACCCCGUGAACCUUUACUAUAGCUUGACACUGAACAUUGAGCCUUGAUGUGUAGGAUAGGUGGGAGGCUUUGAAGCGUGGACGCCAGUCUGCGUGGAGCCAACCUUGAAAUACCACCCUUUAAUGUUUGAUGUUCUAACGUUGGCCCCUUAUCGGGGUUGCGGACAGUGUCUGGUGGGUAGUUUGACUGGGGCGGUCUCCUCCCAAAGCGUAACGGAGGAGCACGAAGGUUAGCUAAUCCUGGUCGGACAUCAGGAGGUUAGUGCAAUGGCAUAAGCUAGCUUGACUGCGAGCGUGACGGCGCGAGCAGGUGCGAAAGCAGGUCAUAGUGAUCCGGUGGUUCUGAAUGGAAGGGCCAUCGCUCAACGGAUAAAAGGUACUCCGGGGAUAACAGGCUGAUACCGCCCAAGAGUUCAUAUCGACGGCGGUGUUUGGCACCUCGAUGUCGGCUCAUCACAUCCUGGGGCUGAAGUAGGUCCCAAGGGUAUGGCUGUUCGCCAUUUAAAGUGGUACGCGAGCUGGGUUUAGAACGUCGUGAGACAGUUCGGUCCCUAUCUGCCGUGGGCGCUGGAGAAUUGAGGGGGGCUGCUCCUAGUACGAGAGGACCGGAGUGGACGCAUCACUGGUGUUCGGGUUGUCAUGCCAAUGGCACUGCCCGGUAGCUAAAUGCGGAAGAGAUAAGUGCUGAAAGCAUCUAAGCACGAAACUUGCCCCGAGAUGAGUUCUCCCUGAGACUUUAAGUCUCCUGAAGGAACGUUGAAGACGACGACGUUGAUAGGCCGGGUGUGUAAGCGCAGCGAUGCGUUGAGCUAACCGGUACUAAUGAACCGUGAGGCUUAACCU
rnacentral:rRNA from 1 species